rnacentral:lncRNA from 1 species
CACGUGAGCCGAUGAAGCAGAAACAAAUGAUGAUGAUGAUGGAUGAUAUAGCUGCCGGGACCCACUGCAACCUCGUGCAUCAAUCAUGACGAUCUCUAACGGCAAAGGCAUGCAUCCAGUAUGGCCUGAUGAAGUAAUUUAGUCUGCCAAAUUUCUUUCUGCUCGUUGCGCAUAGAAGGCGUAUUUUCUUUUCCUUUUUUCCACCCGAGAAGGAAGAAGAAGAAGAAACUGCUGUGGCCAAUUCAAUCCGGAUCAUCAAAACAACAGCCCAUUCCAGACUAGAAGAAUUUGGUCACCAAAUUCGGAUGGAGGUAAAAAGUCACUAGUUACCUGCAGCACCGAAUAGUACUGGUUCGUUCAUUUACUGUUUCCAAAAACUUUCUGCUGAGAGUUUGUGCAUUGUGGUGACACUAAAUAUGCGCGUGCGCGGUUCGUAGGAUUCGAACCCACAACCUCCAACCUCGCGCGUAGCUUUCUUGCCAUCCCACCUACACACCACAUCUAAGUAUGUAGGGGAUCCUAUCCUUUUGUAUUAACUCGUGGGGGACCCUUUUAUCCCGGUUGGAAACACCAACCGCGAUAAAAGACCCCCUUUUAUCCCGGUUGGUAUUACAAACCGGGAUAAAAGGGUUCGAGGAUUUAAUCCUCUUCCAGCCACCUUCCAGUCACCUCGUUGGGGACCCUUUUAUCCCGGUUUGAAACACCAACCGGGUCAAGAGCCUUUUAUCCCGGUUGGUGUUUCAAACCGGGAUAAAAGGCCCCUCAGAGUCUUUUUUCCCACUAGCCUUUGCAACCGGGAUAAAAGGUCCCGGUUGGUGAGCCCCCCACCAGUGACCGAGUUUUAAUCCCGGUUGGUGAACCUUUGUCCCGAGCCAACUUUAAACCGGGAUAAAAGAGGGCGCAUGGAAAGUUAAUUCUCUACUCGUGUUUGCGGGACACAAUCAUUUCAAGCAGGAGACGGUGGUUCAUCUGGAUGGACACCGGCCUCCGAUCAACAAUUUCCCCAGUUUCCCGUGUAGGCAAGGGGGAAGAUGGCAGGUCGCCAAGAAAUAGCAGCAGAUAUGUCCCUUGUCAAAACUUCAAGCCAGUAGUCUGUAAAAUAGAAAGAGAGAUUUGUUCCACUUAGGCUGCUACGCCUACAACAAUAAUGACUGUGGGGAGCUAGGAAAUAGCAUCAUGCUGAUAAGCCCAACAUCAUUGGAAUACAGUAACAGCGUACUGAAAACAAAAGAGGCUACAUCAUGGGCCAACUGAAAUUGUGUUAUCCAUAACAUUUUUUUUUAGAAAAUCCUCAGCCAUCAACACACGCAACCAAAUUAUUACAGAAUCUUAAGCUCAGUUGCUGAUUAAAAAAAUAAAAAGAGAAAAUAAUUAUAAGCAAUGUUUAAUGUUGCUUAUCCAUCCAUUUUUAAUAGAAACUUUCCAAAGCUUUCGUUGCUCUACUAUCGAACGGACGGUCUCCCUUAUGUCUUCACACCACGUUAAUAAAUCGCAAUUAAUAUGUUCUCCCGAAGGUAACCUUCAAAGCGAUGAAUGUAGAUCACCCACGAGCAACCGAGCACGCACAAGGGAUGCUGAAACACCACAUGGAUCUCCAUGACAACACCUUCAACAAGAACAUGACGCUAAUGACACCAUUGUCAUUGGCCCAAGUAUUGGGUUGGGUUUACACCCGGAGAAUUAAAAAAUCACCAUUCGGGGGAGGUGCAAACAAAGUCGCCUCCAAGGAGGCAACGGCACCCGCAAGCGUCACCAUCCACACUUUCAUCCCGACCUCCACCAUGCCAUGCCGGCAGCAGCCUGAGCAGAAAUCCACUCACCAAGCUGUUGAUGGUGCUGAGCAAGUUCGCAAGUGCCAGCCAUCAUUAUUGAGAGCCAGCUGCUGCCGCCGCAAACUCAUGCCCAUUGCGCUAGGGCUAGGGCGCCGGCCAUAGCAAGGCCUAGAUGCACGUGUUGCGUCAUGGCUGGCACCACACUAAGCCCACCAUGUCACCAGACUGUCACAGCCGGAAGGGCGCCGGUCGUCAGAUCCGACCCCCAGCGCAUGGAAUCCACCGCCUAGAAGCUAAUAUCUCUAGAGUGAAAAUCAACACUUCAGAAGAUCCCUGAGGGAGGGGGAACGUGAAGGAGAGGCUCCCCGAGUGCCGUCAGCAUCACCGGAGAACCCAAGCAGCCACAUAUCCAGGGGUCUCCGAGGGACCCGUCGUCGGAUCCGGUCACGCCAAGGGGAAGCACCAUCACGUUCAAAGGUUUCACCUCUAUGUGUAACGCUGCACUGUCCGACUGCCCGAGUACCUCCAGCAUUGGAUGGAGUGAUGGCAAUCUUAUUAGGGGGAAAAGAAACUACACACACCAAUGACAUAUGGUAACAGCUUACAAUGAUGGUAGUGGAUAAAAGAAAUGGGAGCACCAGAAACAAAAUCUAGAGUCUCAACAGUCAAAAUCAAAUUAACAAGAUCAAACAAUAAAAGUUAUGAGUACCACAAGAGCUUACACUGUCCGACUGUCCGAGUACCUCCAGCGUUGGUUGCAGAGCACCAGGGGGGGGGGGGGAUCAUUUCCAAAGUGGAUGCAUCAGUGGAGAUCUCUCAAUGUUUGUCACAUAAGCAGUGUGGUGCCCUCCAGGUGCCCAGGUUGGUGUGUUAAACUGCCUCCGAUCCACAGCCAUCUUAGAACACUGCAUUCCAAGUUUCCAACACUUUUCAUGGUCUCAACUCUACUUUUACAUUCUCUCAGGGGGUGUUUGGGAACACCGUGCUAAACUUUAGCACCUGUCACAUCGGAUGUUUGGAUACUAAUUAGGAGUAUUAAAUAUAGUCUAAUUACAAAACUAAUUGCACAGAUGGAGUCUAAUUCACGAGACGAAUCUAUUAAGCCUAAUUAGUCCAUGAUUUGACAAUGUGGUGUUACAGUAACCAUUUGCUAAUGAUGGAUUAAUUAGCCUCAAUAGAUUCGUCUCGCGAAUUAGACUCCAUCUGUGCAAUUAGUUUUGUAAUUAGCUCAUGUUUAGUCCUUCUAAUUAGCAUCCGAAUAUCCGAUGUGACCCUGCUAAAGUUUAGCACCUCGUAUCCAAACACUCCAAUGUGCUUUAUCUUGCUCCAAUCAUCUCCUGACUCGCUGCAUCUUUGCUUAAACCUCUUUGUGCAUUGUGACAGUGUCAAGGUAUGCAAAGAGGUCAGCCUCUCAAUGCACGGAGGCAAAGUUUUCAUCCAGUAGGCCUCUACUUUGAGCUCACGGAGAGAUGCCAUAUCUCCCAACCAUUCUGGCAAGGUUUCCAUGUCCUCACAGUUCAGUAUCUCUAGCUUCCUGAGGGAUUUCCAGCCUAGAAUGCACUUUGGCAAAGGUACAGGAUCGAUGCAACUGUCAACAGUUAAUUCUUCAAUGUCAAGCAGUUGAAGAGAAUCAGAGUCAGAAGAUAUAUUUUUGAUGUACUUGAUUUCCAUUUUGGAUGAUAAAGCAGAUGUUGAUAGCCCCAUGAUCGACUUGGUAGAAUGAUGGCCAAUUGAAUAAGAACGGAUAUUGUUUAAUUCCAGAUAUGAUAUACCUGGCACUCCAAGGGAUUGAUGGUUCGAAUCUUACAUUCAAACAACAGUCUAUCUCCACAGUAACUUCCCUACUCUUACUAUUGUAACUCUUCUGAGAUUUUUCACUGGCUGUGUGAUCAAGAUGCAUAUCGAUGAUUUGGCAUAUAGGUUCACUAUAACUUCACCAUCCCCCACAAGCAGAGACACCGGGACAGACGAGAUAUACAAGUCUUCAAGAGAUUGUAAAUAAUCUAAAUGGAGGUCACCAGAUUGAACAUUGAAAAGCUCCAAUCGUACAAGAUUUGGUAGCCAACGUAACCAGUUAGGAAAAUCACCACCAACAUAGUUCUUUAUGCAAAGCCUUUUAAGGUUUUCACGAGGCUGGAGCUCUUCUAACGCGACCUUGUUCAACACUGGCCCACUCCACUCCAAACUUAAAAAUUGGAGCUCCUCUUUUUGCGCCAAUUCAAUUAUGUUUGCGUCUGAGCUUGAUAGAUCUUCGAGAUGUUUAAUAUUAAGUUCAGUAAGCUGGUGACUUGUAGUCUUUUGUAGAAGAGCCAUGUCCUUUGAUGAACUGACGGCGAAACUAGGGCCCUGCUAUUUUACAAAAACAAAGAAAAUGAAAAAUAAAACAUUCUGCUUUAGUCAAGAUGGCAUGCAUACUAUAUAAAACCAUCUCUAGGUGCAAACAUGCAGCUUAGAGCAUCUCCAAUAGUCAUCUAAUUAAUGUUUCUAGAUAACUAGUUAAUAGGGAUAUCCCGAGUUGCUUUUACAGUCUUCUAUAACCUCAUCCCAAUCUAACUACCGUUGUUGGGAGAGUCACAGCUCCUCAUUUAUUUGGGGAGUUGGGGUGAAUUAUUUGUCGAAUAAUUAUUGUAAAAAAGGAAAGGUAAAGGGAGUGUGUUAGAGCACUAUUUUUUCACAAACUCUCCAAAUAUGGUAGUUGUAUUGGAGCACUGAAUAGUACUGGUUCGUUCAUUUACUGUUUCCUCAAACUUUCUGCUGAGAGUUCGUGCAUUGUGGUGACACUAAAUUAGCUGCUUAAUCUGCUGCAGGACAUCAAGCAGUGGGCGUAUGGCGCACCUAUCAGCUGGGUUCCUGUUGGUCAUCUUAAUUCUUGCUUGUGGUAGAGCAAACCAUGGCCGACUUAGUGAUCAGGCCCAGGGCCGGCUCUAGGGGAGCGGCAGGCCGUGCGACCGUCCGGGGCCCAUGAAGCUGCGGGCCCAAAACCAUAUAGGUAAUCAAUACAUAUAAUUUGGUUGGUGGACUUUGUUUCGGCCUUUCUAAAUGGCCCGCGUAACAACUGCGGCCUGCCUCCGUCCGUGCCAAAUCAGGCCUACCAAAUUGCUCCAUGACUAUGCUGUCCCUGAUUCUGUAUACAUAUACGCUCCUGACUCCGUGGUUGUGCUGUCGCUGAGCACCGCGUCUGGAGCGCGUCAGAGGAUAUAGGCGAGCCGCGAGCACCGUUAGGGUCAGAGGCGAGUGCUUAUUUGAAGUUCAAUCUUUGUUUUCUUUUUCGCCAAUUUCGUCAAAAAGCAAUCAUUUAAUUAAUAUUAUUUCUUUCGUGUAGUAAUUCCAUUCUUCAUCAAUUGCGUAGAAGGAGCAAUGCCUUACGACAUUGAAGGAGAAUCUUGGUAAUUCUAUCGUCAAUUGCAUAUCAGAUUCUCUUAACUAUUCCAAUGACAGUAGUAUCAGCCGAAAGUAGUUUCUCCAUUUUGAAACUAUUGAAAAAUUAUUUGAGAUCAACUAUGUCACAAGAAAGAUUGAAUGGCUUGGCUAUGUGCAAUAUUAAGAAGGAUGUUUUGGACGACAUUAAUCUUGAUACUGUUCAUGAAGACUUUGCAUCAAGAAAUAUAUCCGAAGAUGUUUUUCUACAAAGCACUAAAGCAUUAUAUUUUUAUUUGAGAUAAUCAUAAUGGUUAUUGUUUUUAGUUUUUUUGUUACACUAUUAUUAUGUUUUAUGAGAGAUAUAUAUUGCAAAAAUGAUGCGUAGCUCUCCUGAAUAUAUAUAUAUAUAUAUUGCAAAAUAAUUUUUAUUAUUCGUAUUAUAUACUUUAGUUUUGAUAUUAAAAAUAGUUCAACGGGUCCUUAUGUUUGCCCAAGGGUCUUCAAAAUUAUAGAGCCAGCCGUGAUCAGGCCAUUCAUCUUCAUGGUGGAGAAGGUGAUCGAAGGCAUGGAGCGCAAGCUGCCAUCAAUCCUGCAUGCACAUUAACAAGGAUGCGGAGGAAAGAAGAGCCUCCCG